rnacentral:rRNA from 1 species
GCGCGAAAACUUUACAAUGCGGGCAACCGCGAUAAGGGGACCUCGAGUGCUGGGUUACAAACCUGGCUGUUGGGCUGCCUAAAAAGCAGUCUAUAGCAAGGGCCGGGCAAGACCGGUGCCAGCCGCCGCGGUAACACCGGCGGCUCGAGUGGUAACCGCUAUUAUUGGGUCUAAAGGGUCUGUAGCCGGCCGACUAAGUCUCUUGGGAAAUCUGGCAUCUCAAGUGUCAGGCUGCCAGGGGAUACUGGUCGGCUUGGGACCGGGAGAGGUGAGAGGUACCUCGGGGGUAGGGGUGAAAUCUUGUAAUCCUCGAGGGACCACCAGUGGCGAAGGCGUCUCACCAGAACGGAUCCGACGGCAAGGGACGAAAGCUAGGGGCACGAACCGGAUUAGAUACCCGGGUAGUCCUAGCCGUAAACGAUACUCGCUAGGUGUCGGCCACGGUGCGACCGUGGUCGGUGCCGUAGGGAAGCCGUGAAGCGAGCCACCUGGGAAGUACGGCCGCAAGGCUGAAACUUGAAGGAAUUGGCGGGGGAGCACCACAACGGGUGGAGCCUGCGGUUUAAUUGGAUUCAACGCCGGAAAGCUUACCGGGGGCGACAGCAAUAUGAAGGUCAGGCUGAAGACCUUACCGGAUUCGCU